rnacentral:rRNA from 1 species
AUGGUGAAGGAGAAGACGGUGGCCCUGGAGCGUGCGAAGAAGGCGGCGGUGCAGGCAAAGGCGAAGAAGUCCGGUCGGGGCGGAUCUUCCUCGAGGUCUGCCUUGCCGCGGGGCUGGAUCCAGGGCGACUGGAUGCCCUCGGCGAUUCGUCAGGAAGACCUUGAUGACCUGGUCGAGGCGGGAUUCAUUCCUCACGAAUCUGUGCGCCUCCCGGGGAACGAGAUUGAGCCGCAGCCUCUUGAGGGUGAGUGUGUCCUUAUCGCCACUCAUGUCGACAGCGUAUUCUCCCUGCCCCCUCAUCCUUUUUUUCGGAGUUUCUUGAACUUUUUCGGAGCGCAACUCCAUCACUUCACUCCGAAUUCCAUCGUGUACCUUGCUGCCUUCGUGUCUUCGUGCGAGAAUUUCUUGGGUUGCCGUCCUCAUUGGGGCCUCUUCAAGCACAUUUUCACUUGUCGUUCUCAGUCAGUUAAGAAAGCCAAGUCGAGUGACGAUAGGACGCAAGUGAUUCAGAUGUGCGGGGGUCUUGGGAUCCAGAUGAGAAGCAAAAGUUGUUUUCCAGCUAUGACUCUUCCUGACUCAGUCCGCGGGUGGCAGUCGACCUGGUUCUACUGCAAAGACCAGCCGACUCCUGGACAUGCGACGGGUCUUCCCCCUUUCUCCCUGAACCGACCAGAAAAACCUUCUUCUCUGAAAGUGACACCAGAAGAGAAGGCACAAGUCAAAGUGUUGGUUGGUCGAGUGGUUCAGCUUGUCCGCGACGGGGUGACCGGUAUGGAUUUGUUAGAGGUCUUCCUCAAGAGACGUAUCCAACCGCUCCAAGCUCGUGACCAUCCGAUGUGGAUGUAG